CCCAGUCCUUCUAAGGGCUGAGAAGACCCUGUGGAGGCCAUGGGGAAGGUUGCCCAGGGCCACUGCAACUGGGGGCACAGGGAGGGCUCUGUCCCGUGCAUCUUUCCCACAGACACCAUACCACUGAGUCACCUGGGGCUUUGAAGGAGCUUGUAAACCAUUCAUUGAAGACUGGAAUCAAGAAUGACCUUCAGGAAAACCUCUCCCUAGAGACAAUCUUGCCCUAGCAAGGUCUGACACUGCCCAAAGGAUCCCUGCCUCUUGCUGCUGCCAUCAUUCUGCCCUUGCCUCUGUCUCAAGACCCUAGCAGCCUGUGUCUGCUCCCAGAAGCCUGGCCCUUCCCCACCAUAGUUCCACCCAAGCAGAAUCAAACCCUCUGCAGGUCCUGGGAUUCAACUUAUCCUUCUCCUUAUGGAGGAGAAGCCAGAUCCUCCACGGGUCCCAUGGGAGAUACUAAAGCCAUUCCUGCUCAUCAGCUCACACCAUUCUUCUGCCAUC